UUCGGUCAGCUAACCUUGGUCAGUUAAUCCUACAUACCAAGCUUAUCGUGCAGAACCUCCCUAACAAUUGAAGAGUGGCCUUAUCUUGCUCUCGCUUAACCCCAGGAUGUAUGUCUUGCAAAGAUAAUGUGCAGCUGUGGAAAAUUACUAAGAGUUAAGUGUUUUGAAAAUGCCAUAUAAACCCUUGGUUUUGAGUGCUCGGGGUCCUUGUUGAGACCCGCUGCGUCGGGCUAACUUGGACCCCAGCUAGCUGGUUCCUGAAUAAAUUCCUCUUGCUUGUUGCAUCAAGAGACGCCUUUCGUGAGUGAUUUGGGGCGGCGUCCUCCUCUGGGGGAAUCCAACAUUUGGGGGCUCGUCCGGGAUCUGCGCUCACCCCGCUUCACUCCCGAAGUCGCUCUUGGAGGAAGAGAAGCCACAAAACUGCAAAUAGUAAUAGAAACGAAACCCAGAAUAGAAGCGCCAGCCUUCUGAGGCCCUCUCAACUGACCAGUGAUAGAGACCUAGCUGCACCCUUUACUGCGCCCCCUUCUCAGCACGAAGCAGCCAGAGCGGUCAUCGCCCCUUUUCCCUAGCAGCAGCUAGAGUCUCUACCUGUAGAGAAGAGAAUGAGACAGGGACCAUAGGCUUAGACAGAAUAAAGUGAGAGCCUCUGGAAGAGGUGGGGCAAUCAGAGCAAUGUAACUACAUGCUGGAACUCCCCCCUACUGGAACUAUGUUGAACAUGGAACUCUAGAAUCAUUCUUCAGUGAGAUCAGUUAAUGUUCCCCAGAUAGAGAGGAGUAGCACAUGUUUUGUUAUGCUAGUCAUUUGUAAUCGUGUAUGAGAUUCGCUUUAGCAUACUGGAGGGCCUGGGCCUGUGUGCUGUUUUUCCUCCUUCAGAUCUGACUAAGUAAUUUUGCAAGCUGAGCAAUUGACUUAGCAUGCAGACCCAGCUGUAGACGGCAUAGUAAAAAGCAAGAUUCUUUUUUUUUUUUACAGUUAACUAAGUGACAGGCUUUAUUUGGAUUUCACCAAUUUAUAUAUAUAAUUUUUUUCUAUAUGGUUCUAUGAAAAUUUUAAUACAUGUAUUAUUUCAUAGGACCAACACCACAUUCAGGAUUUAGAACUGUUCCAAAGGAACCCAUCACCCUGAAAAAACUCCCUGGCACUACCCUUUAGAGUCACAUCUCGCUCCCAACCCUUCCUGCUAUUUUUUUUUUUUUUUUUUUUUUAUUAAAGGGUAGUUGACAACAGCAUUGCAUUACAUUAGUUUCAGGUGUACAACACAGCGACUCAACAUUUAUAUACAUGAUAUUUCUAGGUACCAGGUAUCACCAUACCAAGUUGUUACAAUAUUUUGACUAUAUUCCUUAUGAAAAAGCAAGAUUCUUUAGCAAAUAGACAAUAUCUCAGCCCACCUUAGAGGCUGGGCAUGCAAUCUUUUGAUGUGCACCCGAACCAAGGCGCCAGUGUCCCAGAGAGAAAUCAAAGAAAUUAUCUUUAAUAUUCAAAGACCCCUUCCCCGUUACCCAGACUGACAACCGCGAUUUAUAUAAUAAGUUAAAAGCUCUCCAGGCAGUCCAAAGAGAAGUGUAGACCCAACUAAAAGCAGUCUAUGAGCCCGGCACUUCAGAAGCAGCCCACCCAUUCCAAGUUAAAGACUUUGUGUUUGUAAGGCGACACCGAGCGCAGACCCUUGAGCCACGGUAGAAAAGACCCUACUUAGUGUUACCACCCCAACAGCAGUCAAAGUUGAUAAAAUUGCCGCCUAGAUCCACGCAUCUCAUGUGAAACCCGUUGUCUCAGCCGAGACAGCUGACGACCAUCUCACGUGGAGAGCCCAACCUACUGAGAAUCCUCUCCAGCUUAAAAAUCACCAGAAGACCCCUAAAGUGACCAGGUGCGCGUCCAGAGACACCAACGCCAUUUAGCUGACCCACGCACCGUUCUCAAAAACUCUAUUCCAAGAUAACCACGUCAGCUGGACAAAGACAACCCUCAAAAGCUAAGACUGCGCCGUUCAUAUUGUGCCUUUCCCCUAUUGCACUACCAAACAGAUGACCUCUAAUUUCAUGAUUGAAAUAGUUACAAGAAGAAGGGGAAUGUAAGAAUGAGAAUAAGUUAGCAUAAGAGUAGCAAUCUUAAGGGCCUAGAAGCAGUUUUCUGAAGUUGUGACUUAAAAGAAAAAAAACUGGAACUGGGUAAGGCCUUGGAAAACAAGUUAAUCAUGAACACCGGGAUGGGGGCAGCUGUGGCCUUCAGUCAGCUAACCUUGGUCAGUUAAUCCUACUUACCAAGCUUAUCGUGCAGAACCUCCCUAACAAUUGAAGAGUGGCCUUAUCUUGCUCUCGCUUAACCCCAGGAUGUAUGUCUUGCAAAGAUAAUGUGCAGCUGUGGAAAAUUACUAAGAGUUAAGUGUUUUGAAAAUGCCAUAUAAACCCUUGGUUUUGAGUGCUCGGGGUCCUUGUUGAGACCCGCUGCGUCGGGCUAACUUGGACCCCAGCUAGCUGGUUCCUGAAUAAAUUCCUCUUGCUUGUUGCAUCAA